rnacentral:rRNA from 1 species
AUUGAACGCUGGCGGCAUGCCUUACACAUGCAAGUCGAACGGCAGCGGACCUUCGGGUGCCGGCGAGUGGCGAACGGGUGAGUAAUGCAUCGGAACGUACCUUUCAGUGGGGGAUAACGUAGCGAAAGUUACGCUAAUACCGCAUAUUCUGUGAGCAGGGAAGCAGGGGAUCGCAAGACCUUGCGCUGAUUGAGCGGCCGAUGUCAGAUUAGCUAGUUGGUGAGGUAAAGGCUCACCAAGGCGACGAUCUGUAGCGGGUCGGAGAGGAUGAUCCGCCACACUGGGACUGAGACACGGCCCAGACUCCUACGGGAGGCAGCAGUGGGGAAUUUUGGACAAUGGGGGCAACCCUGAUCCAGCCAUGCCGCGUGAGUGAAGAAGGCCUUCGGGUUGUAAAGCUCUUUCGGCCGGGAAGAAAUCGCACAGGCUAAUACCUUGUGUGGAUGACGGUACCGGAAUAAGAAGCACCGGCUAACUACGUGCCAGCAGCCGCAGUAACAC